CUCCGGUUGAUCCUGCCGGACCCGACUGCUAUCAGAGUGAGAUUAAGCCAUGCGAGUUAACGUAGCAAUACGUGGCGCACGGCUCAGUAACACGUAGUCAACAUGCCCAGAGGACGUGGAUAACCUCGGGAAACUGAGUCUAAACCGCGAUAAGUGAGGAUUUCUGGAAUGGUUCCUGACUAAAAUCUAUAUGGCCUCUGGAUUGGACUGCGGCCGAUCAGGCUGUUGGUGAGGUAAUGGCCCACCAAACCUGUAACCGGUACGGGCUCUGAGAGGAGGAGCCCGGAGAUGGGCACUGAGACAAGGGCCCAGGCCCUAUGGGGCGCAGCAGGCGCGAAACCUCUGCAAUAGGCGAAAGCCUGACAGGGUUACUCUGAGUGACUUUCGCUAAGAAAGUCUUUUGGCACCUCUAAAAAGGGUGCAGAAUAAGGGGUGGGCAAGUCUGGUGUCAGCCGCCGCGGUAAUACCAGCACCCCGAGUGGUCGGGACGAUUAUUGGGCCUAAAGCAUCCGUAGCCGGUUCUGCAAGUCCCCCGUUAAAUCCAGCUGCUCAACAGAUGGGCCGCGGAGGAUACUACAGAGCUAGGAGGCAGGAGAGGCAAGCGGUACUCAGUGGGUAGGGGUAAAAUCCGUUGAUCCAUUGAAGACCACCAGUGGCGAAGGCGGCUUGCCAGAAUGCGCUCGACGGUGAGGGAUGAAAGCUGGGGGAGCAAACCGGAUUAGAUACCCGGGUAGUCCCAGCCGUAAACGAUGCAGACUCGGUGAUGGGUUGGCUUCGCACUAACCCAGUGCCGCAGGGAAGCCGUUAAGUCUGCCGCCUGGGUAGUACGGUCGCAAGACUGAAACUUAAAGGAAUUGGCGGGGGAGCA
rnacentral:rRNA from 1 species